CUUCGUCGUCCCGCUAAGCCGAGUCGGCUUCUGUUCGCGAUCCUCUCUUGAAAAAAAAACAAACGUGAAUCGUUGCUUAGGAAUCCUUGUUGGUCGAUUCUCUACUGUCCGUGGAGACGCUUAAGUUCAGUGAUAAAAAGGUUUCCGUUCGGUUCAGACAUUGAGGAGAGAUUGAUUUGAAUAUAUAAUUCUUUUGGAAAACUACGAGCUUGGACGCUUUGGAACCUUUUAAGGUUAACUAUGAGAUGGGACAUAUCUCUUGGUUUGGAGGACAAUUCCCUUGAGUUCGCCUGAUGAGGAAAGAAAAAGAGCCGUUUGUAUUCUUAAUUAAAAGGAUUCGACAAGGUAACAAGUCUCUCAAGACUGGCCUAGCCAGGAUUCUAUUAAGACUGGCCUAGCCAGGAUUCU